AAUCUUCCACAAUGGACGGAAGUCUGAUGGAGCAACGCCGCGUGAGCGAAGAAGGUUUUCGGAUCGUAAAGCUCUGUUGUAAGACAAGAACACGUCCGGGCCUCCCUGCCCGUAACUUGCCGGUACCUUAUCAGAACGCCACGUCUAACUACGUGCCAGCAGCCGCGGGGGUACCUAGGUGGCAAGCGUUGCCCGGAAUGAUUGGGCGUAUAGCGCGCGCAGGCGGUCCUUUAAGUCUGAUGUGAAAGCACACGGCUCAACCGUGGAGGGUCAUUGGAAACUGGAGGACUUGAGUACAGAAGAGGAAAGCGGAAUUCCACGUGUAGCGGUGAAAUGCGUAGAGAUGUGGAGGAACGCCAGUGGCGAAGGCGGCUUUCUGGUCUGUAACUGACGCUGAGGCGCGAGAGCGUGGGGAGCAAACA
rnacentral:rRNA from 1 species